rnacentral:snoRNA from 1 species
CCCUUUUUAAAAGCACUCAAUGGGCCUGUGGCUAAUGACCUAUUGAGCUGUCAAGAAAGGGGAGAAUGAAAAACAAUGCUUUUGGGUGAAGUGGCAGCAUGUUGUGUUGUUUUGCUUCAAUCAGUGGUGUGACAAGA